rnacentral:rRNA from 1 species
CCUACGGGUGGCAGCAGUGAGGAAUAUUGGUCAAUGGCCGAGAGGCUGAACCAGCCAAGUCGCGUGAGGGAAGACGGCCCUACGGGUUGUAAACCUCUUUUGUCGGGGAGCAAAGCGCGUCACGUGUGGCUCAUUGAGAGUACCCGAAGAAAAAGCAUCGGCUAACUCCGUGCCAGUAGCCGCGGUAAUACGGAGGAUGCGAGCGUUAUCCGGAUUUAUUGGGUUUAAAGGGUGCGCAGGCGGAGUGGCAAGUCAGCGGUCAAAUUGCGGGGCUCAACCCCGUACUGCCGUUGAAACUGCAGCCCUUGAGUGCGCGAGAAGUAUGCGGAAUGCGUGGUGUAGCGGUGAAAUGCAUAGAUAUCACGCAGAACUCCGAUUGCGAAGGCAGCAUACCGGCGCGCAACUGACGCUCAUGCACGAAAGCGUGGGUAUCGAACAGGAUUAGAUACCCGAGUAGUC